UACGAAUGGGAACCGCGCCGCCGUCGACGUCGCUCUGUGGUUUGCGUUCAUUUCUACGUUUAAACCGAUUCCUUUAGGUUUUUUUUUUCUUUUUUCUUUUACAGGUACUUUGUCAAGAGUAACAAACGAUAUCUGGGAGACGCUGAUGGACGCUGCGUCUAGUCAACGACCGUAGGUUGUGCACGGCUGCCGGAGCACCUUCGGGAAACGCUAACCGCCGUGCAUCUCUGCUCCCACGGUCCUGCUCGACAGUGGCUGAGACGUGCAACACAGUUGCGCCCAACUUCCCUCUAUGCUACAAGCACCCCAGGAGCUACUAUCGCCCGAAGAUGUCACAGGUGGUCAUGAUUCUUUGAGGCAGCGGAAUUUCACCGCAGUGCAUCUUUAACACCUUCAGUUUCUUUUCUACUGCAAGCCUGGUACUACAGCUUGUGGCCCGUGUAGAAGAAUAGAGGGGUGAAACCAAGGCUCAAGUGACUGUGGACUCAUGGCCCUCAGACAGCUAGAGCACCAGACCAGGCACAGACCAGAGCCAUUUAUGCUCCACUUCUAGAGGACAUGUUGCAGUUUGAAACUACCAAGACUCAUGGAAGCUGCUGACAGGAGGCUGUUGAAGCCGUGGUCGCAAGGCACCCAUGACAUUGAAGUCUUCCAAACAAGGCACUAUGAAGGCAUGACUUGUAGCGGCACUGGAGCAAGCGACACGGUCCGGGUGAGCCGCAAGUGUAACUGUUACACUGUAAACAGGAAAUAUAGACAUGUGUCCGACAAAGCACAGACUCAUAAAACUUUCAUGUAGCAAUAAUAGUUUAAUUUAACUAAACAGUGCAUCAACAGAGCCUGACCCAAGAAUGGGGAAUUGGGGAACCGGCCAAUGUGUAGAGUCUAACAGAAACAAGGAAGGCGAUAAAAACAAAUGGGGCAACAUGUUAAGAUAGGACAAUAAUGUCGUGCCUAUUUUUUGUUUUCAAUUAAGAUUUUAUAGGAGCUAGCAAAAUAUGUCCUUGCAAUGGAAUAGACCUACUUUUACAAAAAGACCUUCAAUGUUUUUGUUAAAAUAAAUUGCGUCUGAGGAGGUGGAAAUAUGAUUUUCCCAAUUGCGCAUUAACAUAUCUUCGAGCUCCACAGGGUAAUAAAACUUCCCGAAACGUAAAUAUUUUUAUGCAUGCUCAGAAGUUUUUUUAAAUAUAGAAAAAGUCAAACAAUUUUUUUGUGAGAA